rnacentral:rRNA from 1 species
AGAGUUUGAUCCUGGCUCAGGAUGAACGCUGGCGGCGUGCCUAAUACAUGCAAGUCGAACGGAGAUUGUAGCAAUACGAUCUUAGUGGCGAACGGGUGAGUAACGCGUUGGUGACCUGCCCCAGAGUGUGGGAUAACAGUCCGAAAGGACUGCUAAUACCGCAUGCGAUCAUCGGGAUUUGACGCCUGAUGAUUAAAGGAGAAAUUCGCUCUGGGAGGGGCCUGCGUCCCAUCAGCUAGUUGGUAGGGUAAUGGCCUACCAAGGCUAUGACGGGUAGGGGACCUGAGAGGGUGGACCCCCACAAUGGAACUGAAACACGGUCCAUACACCUACGGGUGGCAGCAGUAGGGAAUAUUGCAUAAUGGGCGGAAGCCUGAUGCAGCAACGCCGCGUGUGCGAUGAAGGCCUUCGGGUUGUAAAGCACUUUUGGAAGGGAUGAGGAAGGACAGUACCUUCUGAAUAAGCCUCGGCUAACUACGUGCCAGCAGCCGCGGUAAAACGUAGGAGGCGAGCGUUAUCCGGAUUUACUGGGCGUAAAGCGCGUGCAGGCGGUUCGGUAAGUUGGAUGUGAAAGCUCCUGGCUUAACUGGGAGAGGUCGUUCAAUACUACCGGGCUUGAGUAUGGGAGAGGGAGGUGGAAUUCCGGGUGUAGUGGUGAAAUGCGUAGAUAUCCGGAGGAACACCAGUGGCGAAAGCGGCCUCCUGGCCCAUUACUGACGCUCAGACGCGAAAGCUAAGGGAGCGAACGGGAUUAGAGACCCCGGUAGUCUUAGCUGUAAACUAUGUGGACUUGGCGUCGGCGGGUUCAAAUCCGUCGGUGCCGUAGCUAACGCGAUAAGUCCACCGCCUGGGGACUACGGCCGCAAGGUUAAAACUCAAA